rnacentral:rRNA from 1 species
AUUGAACGCUGGCGGCGUGCCUAACACAUGCAAGUCGAGCGGCAGCGCGGGAGCAAUCCUGGUGGCGAGCGGCGGACGGGUGAGUAACGCUUGGGAAUCUGCCUGUUAGUGGGGGACAACCCGGGGAAACUCGGGCUAAUACCGCAUACGCACUACGGUGGAAAGCCGGGGACCGCAAGGCCUGGCGCUAACAGAUGAGCCCAAGUCGGAUUAGCUAGUUGGUAGGGUAACGCCUACCAAGGCGACGAUCCGUAACUGGUCUGAGAGGACGACCAGUCACACCGGAACUGAGACACGGUCCGGACCU